CCUACGGGAGGCUGCAGUGGGGAAUAUUGGACAAUGGGCGAAAGCCUGAUCCAGCCAUGCCGCGUGUGUGAAGAAGGCCUUCGGGUUGUAAAGCACUUUCAGUGGGGAAGAAAGCCUUGGGGCUAAUACCCUCGAGGAAGGACAUCACCCACAGAAGAAGCACCGGCUAACUCCGUGCACAGCAGCCGCGGUAAUACGGAGGGUGCGAGCGUUAAUCGGAAUUACUGGGCGUAAAGCGCGCGUAGGCGGUCUGAUAAGCCGGUUGUGAAAGCCCCGGGCUCAACCUGGGAACGGCAUCCGGAACUGUCAGGCUAGAGUGCAGGAGAGGAAGGUAGAAUUCCCGGUGUAGCGGUGAAAUGCGUAGAGAUCGGGAGGAAUACCAGUGGCGAAGGCGGCCUUCUGGACUGACACUGACGCUGAGGUGCGAAAGCGUGGGUAGCAAACAGGAUUAGAUACCCCAGUAGUC
rnacentral:rRNA from 1 species